rnacentral:rRNA from 1 species
UACGGAGGGUGCAAGCGUUUAUCCGGAUUUAUUGGGUUUAAAGGGUCCGUAGGCGGUUUUGUAAGUCAGUGGUGAAAGCCCAUCGCUCAACGGUGGAACGGCCAUUGAUACUGCAAGACUUGAAUUAUUGGGAAGUAACUAGAAUAUGUAGUGUAGCGGUGAAAUGCUUAGAGAUUACAUGGAAUACCAAUUGCGAAGGCAGGUUACUACCAAUAU